rnacentral:rRNA from 1 species
AUUGUACGCUGGCGGCAUGCCUUACACAUGCAAGUCGAACGGCAGCACGGGUGCUUGCACCUGGUGGCGAGUGGCGAACGGGUGAGUAAUAUAUCGGAACGUACCUUAUCGUGGGGGAUAACGCAGCGAAAGCUGUGCUAAUACCGCAUAAGCCCUAAGGGGGAAAGCAGGGGACCGUAAGGCCUUGCGCGAUUAGAGCGGCCGAUACCUGAUUAGCUAGUUGGUGAGGUAAAGGCUCACCAAGGCAACGAUCAGUAGCUGGUCUGAGAGGACGAUCAGCCACACUGGGACUGAGACACGGCCCAGACUCCUACGGGAGGCAGCAGUGGGGAAUUUUGGACAAUGGGGGCAACGCUGAUCCAGCAAUGCCGCGUGAGUGAAGAAGGCCUUCGGGUUGUAAAGCUCUUUUGUCAGGGAAGAAACAGCAGCUCUAAUACAGUAUGCGAAUGACGGUACCUGAAGAAUAAGCACCGGCUAACUACGUGCCAGCAGCCGCCGCGG